UGCACGUAACAGCAGAAGGUGAAGAGUAGGUUAUAUCCACUCAGCCUGAUGCUGCAGGAUUCAUUCAUGCUUUGCAGGAGGCGCACCGAGAAACAGCUGCAAAAGCAAACAUAACAGCUGGAGAGCGUCAUUUAGCGCAUUCGGGUUUUUAUUUCAUUUUGUCCGCAUUUUGGCUGCAUCGAGGACAGACACCGGUCCGGGAUCCAUGAGACAUCCUUUAGACUGGAUACCGCUUCAGUAUCACGGUUGCGUGAAGGUGGAGUCAUGGACGCCGGGAGGCUGGAGCAGCAGGUGGCCAGCGUGGAAAGGGGGAUCUGCUUCCUGAAGCAGGAGCACCUGGCCAUGCUGACCGGCCUGCAGCUGGAGAUCACACACCUGAAGAGGCGCUGCCAGGAGCUGAGCUGUGAGCUGGACUCCAGGUUUCCAGACAGAAACACUUCAGGUAAGAUUACAUUCAGAGAGUAAUUAGCCU